UUUCCGUAGGUGAACCUGCGGAAGGAUCAUUACCGAGUUAGGGCCUGCCUCUUCGGCGCCCGACCUCCCAACCCUGUGUCUACUAUACCUAAUUGUUGCUUCGGUGGGCCGGUCUGAAAGAACACCGCUGGGCCUCUGUGCCUGGAGAGCGCCCGCCGAUGGCCCAAUCUCAAACUCUUAGCACUAAACCAUGUCGUCUAAAGCAAAAACUAUUUGAUUUAAUCAAAAUUAAAACUUUCAACAACGGAUCUCUUGGUUCUG
rnacentral:misc_RNA from 1 species